rnacentral:lncRNA from 1 species
GUUUCUUUCCACAGUGGAAGGGAGAAUAAUGAGAAGAAGGAUGCAGAAGAGAGGGGAAAGUUGAAAGUAGCUGAUAUGGGACCACAGAAUAUUGGCCAAUCAAUUGUAAUGACUAUACUUAUACCUAAACAAGUAAUAAAUAAAUGCAUUUGGCUUCCUUACCUUGAGUAUUGAAUCAACAUUUGAAAACAAAGUAAUCAACCUUUGGCAAUUUGUCCUUCAGAGAGAGAAAAACUCCCUUAGAAACCCAUAUUAAAAGAAACGUGCACAUGUAUCCCAGAACUUAAAGUAAAAUAAAAAAUAAAAGAAAAGAAAAGAAACAUGGGGAAAAAGGAGCAAGAGGAAGUUGAGAAGAAAAUUCAAGAAGGUGGUGCUACAAGGGCUUCUCAAUUUUGUACUUUUUCCUUUCAACAUUUUCUCUCCUGGACCCAAGAAACAUCAAAGGACUUUGUAUUCUCCAGUGAAUGAAGGAUAAAAAUUAGACAUGGAGACACUUGGUUUGGCAGAGCAGGGAUCCAAGCUAGAUAAAUUACAUUCCAGAAGUGGGAUUUCAGAUAACAUUCAGCGUGGAGUGCAGGAGUUGAAAUGGUGAGGGUAAACAAGGAGACAAGUUCAAAGAGUGAGUGAAUCUAAUUGUGAUAUUGGAUAUCCCAAGAUAUAAAUAGCUUACUAUUCUGCCCAAGGA